rnacentral:rRNA from 1 species
GACGAACCGUGCAAACGUUAUUCGGAAUCACUGGGCAUAAAGGGCGCGUAGGCGGCUUCAUAAGUCAGGGGUGAAAUCCGGCAGCUUAACUGUCGCAGUGCCUUUGAUACUGUGGAGCUCCGAGGGAGGUAGGGGUCUGUGGAACUUCCGGUGGAGCGGUGAGAUGCGUUGAUAUCGGAAGGAACGCCGGUGGCGAAAGCGACGGACUGGAUCUCUUCUGACGCUGGAGGCGCGAAAGCCAGGGGAGCAAAGCGGG